GUCUACGGCCAUACCACCCUGAACGCGCCCGAUCUCGUAUGAUCUCGGAAGCUAAGCAGGGUCGGGCCUGGUUAGUACUUGGAUGGGAGAAUAUUUGUCACUCUCAUGUAUGUUAUCU
ensembl:rRNA 5S_rRNA 5S ribosomal RNA